GAUGAACGCUGGCGGCGUACCUAAUACAUGCGAGUCGAACGAAACUUCUUUAUCACCGAGUGCUUGCACUCACCGAUAAAGAGUUGAGUGGCGAACGGGUGAGUAACACGUGGGCAACCUGCCCAAAAGAGGGGGAUAACACUUGGAAACAGGUGCUAAUACCGCAUAACCAUAGUUACCGCAUGGUAACUAUGUAAAAGGUGGCUAUACUACCGCUUUUGGAUGGGCCCGCGGCGCAUUAGCUAGUUGGUAGGGUAAAGGCUUACCAAGGCAAUGAUGCGUAGCCGAAUUGAGAGGUUGAUCGGCCACAUUGGGACUGAGACACGGCCCAAACUCCUACGGGAGGCAGCAGUAGGGAAUCUUCCACAAUGGGCGGAAGCCUGAUGGAGCAACGCCGCGUGGGUGAAGAAGGUCUUCGGAUCGUAAAACCCUGUUGUUAGAGAAGAAAGUGCGUGAGAGUAACUGUUCACGUUUCGACGGUAUCUAACCAGAAAGCCACGGCUAACUACGUG
rnacentral:rRNA from 1 species